rnacentral:rRNA from 1 species
GCGCCAGACUCCUACGGGAGGCAGCAGUGGGGGAUAUUGCACAAUGGGGGGAACCCUGAUGCAGCGACGCCGCGUGGGUGAAGGAGUAUUUCGGUAUGUAAAGCCCUAUCGGCAGGGAAGAAGCAAGACGGUACCUGACUAAGAAGCCCCGGCUAACUACGUGCCAGCAGCCGCGGUAAUACGUAGGGGGCGAGCGUUAUCCGGAUUCACUGGGUGUAAAGGGAGCGUAGACGGCCAAGCAAGCCAGGGGUGAAAGCCCGGGGCCCAACCCCGGGACUGCCCUUGGAACUGCAUGGCUGGAGUGCGGGAGGGGCAGGCGGAAUUCCUGGUGUAGCGGUGAAAUGCGUAGAUAUUAGGAGGAACACCAGUGGCGAAGGCGGCCUACUGGACGGUGACUGACGCUGAGGCUCGAAAGCGUGGGGAGCAAACAGGAUUAGAUACCCGUGUAU